UAGGGAAUCUUCCACAAUGGGCGAAAGCCUGAUGGAGCAACGCCGCGUGUGUGAUGAAGGGUUUCGGCUCGUAAACACUGUUGUAAGAGAAGAAUGACAUUGAGAGUAACUGUUCAAUGUGUGACGGUAUCUUACCAGAAAGGAACGGCUAAAUACGUGUCAG
rnacentral:rRNA from 1 species